AGUACAAAGCACACUUCCUGAGGAGGUUCAGAGACUCGGAGACCUAGUAUGAAAAGAGUUUGGCGCACGUUUGGAGGAUUUAUUCCACCUGGAUCAUCACACAGGAAGGUGUCAGGGGACGAGUCUCUGGCCAGCAUCCUCUUGAUGCGACGUGUGGCAUCACCACUGCUGUCGCCGCUUACGACGGCCCCAAAACUGCAACACAGCUUGGACAAGCUGGACUGACGAACUCCGAUGUAUGUUCCCCGAGGCUCGAAACCCUGAAAAUACAGUACACAUCAAAGCCGAAGACACACUGGUGCGCAUCAAUGCUCUUCACAGUGGCCAGUGAGUGUUUUCUCUUCCCCCGGAUUAUAUUCUCUUCUUAUGCAAAUCUGAUACAAAGGUGACUCAUUGUUGUGAGCCGCAUUAUCUGUCUAAUUUCAAAGGUGAGGAGAUGUAUUUAAUUACGAUGACGGCGGUUCAUUGAAUCGGUAAAUGGACAAGUUCAUGAGUCACUCGGGAAACAGUAAUUAACACUCAGCCUGAGGUGGCGAGGGAGGAUUUAGCCUCAAGAUGUGGUGGAGGGAAGAUUGCAAUGAUUCUAUAAAGGACUUGUGGGCAUUCAGAUAAUACUGUGUGAUGGUUUUUUUUUUAUUAUUAUUAUUAUUAUUGUGUGUUAUUCACCAGCAGUGGGUCAGAGAAGUCGGGCAGUGGACCAAUGAACAGUCCUGCCACGGAGCAUCCCAGCAGCAGCAGGGCACAACCCACCAACACCGCUAAUGGGUAGUCCACUAUCAUCCGGGAGUAACUGCCGAAUAGAAAAACCACAGAUUAGCUGUGACAUAUUUGAGUUUUAAAGUGAAAAACACAUUUCCAGUACUUACUUUCUAAGGAUGCAGUUAAGUCCUCCAUCCCUGCAAAUGCAGCAGUUAAAGUUAAUGAAUCAAACAUUUUUUUUUAGUUUAUUAUCAUUACAUUCACGUCGCCACCUCUCUGGUACUUUAAACGGACCUUACUGUCACCACAUGCCGCUGCGUUGCCUUCUGUGUGCCGCUCUCGUGUGACCCGUGCAGCCAGUGGCACCUCACGGCGCCGUGGCACGACGUCUGACGGGCGGAGCUGCAGCCGUGGUCCAUUUUCACCGCCACGCCUCCUCCUCCUCCUUCCACGCGGGGACCCGUCGUGUUUGGUCUGACCGGCCUGUGAUGGCUGCAGUGGGGGCAGCUCUGGUGCUGAGGAGAGUCGUAGGCGCCGACUAUGCGAGGACCCUGCAGGACUACCCCCAAAGCAACACGCUGUCAGUGUUCCGCCGUACUUGAUAUAGCUGGCAGGAGGAAGAUGGU